CGCGCAGGCGGCGAUUUAAACAGGAUGUGAAAGGCUACGGCUCAACCGUAGACAUGCACCCUGAACUGGGUCACUUGAGUAUUGGAGAGGCAGGCAGAAUUCCUGGUGUAGCGGUGAAAUGCGUAGAUAUCAGGAGGAAUACCGGAGGCGAAGGCGGCCUGCUGGACAAAUACUGACGCUGAGGCGCGAAAGCUGGGAGCAAACA
rnacentral:rRNA from 1 species